rnacentral:tRNA from 2 species
GGGCGGUUAGCUCAGCUGGUCAGAGCGCCUCCCUUACAAGGAGGAGGUCACAGGUUCGAGUCCCGUACCGCCCAUCA